CCAGCUUCCGACCUUGUGCGGCGUCUUUCUGAACUCCCCCGGCUGUCCGAGCUUUCAUAAUACUAUCUGGACUUCUCUGAUAAUGAACUCCUUCAGCAAUCUACCAGACUACUCCAAAUGCUCUCUGGGCUUCACUAUCAGCCGAUUUUCUGCAGUGAUCGAUUACUCUCCGAAUCUCUUCUAGACUUCUUCCAGCCACGAUCGAUUUUACUCCGAACUUCUUCCAGACUUCAUCAAUAGCCGAGCUUCUCCAGCAAUAGAACUUCUACAGUCACCAAACUCCAUCCAAGUUUCUACGGUAGUCGUCCACCUUUCGAAUUUCAUCCGAGCUCCUACAAGAGCCGGACUCCGUCCGAACUUCUACAGCAGAUGGAUCCUAGACGAACUUCUACAAUAGACGGGCUCCACCAGCCGGAUCUCUACUCUGAACUUCUAUUGCAAGCGGAUUUCAUCCGAGCUUCUACAAUAAGAAGUCUUCAUCUGAGUUUUCACGGCAACCGAUCUUCAUCCAAGCUUCUACAGUAAGCGGCCUCCUUCCGUACUCCUAUAAGAAUCGAACACCAUCCAAACUUCUACAAUAGAAUUGAAUUCAAGACUCCUCCGACGGACAAACUAUCACAAUGCCUUUCGAACUCCACUAUCAGUCGACCUUCUGCUGAAUUUCUCGUGAAACCGGACCUCUCCAGUGGACAGUCUUCAGACGAGCUUC
rnacentral:lncRNA from 1 species